rfam:Triticum aestivum genome assembly, contig: Triticum_aestivum_CS42_TGACv1_scaffold_221007_3B
GAGAUACUCCCUCCAUCCGGAAAUACUUGUCAUUAAAAUGAAUAAAAGAGGGUGUAUCUAGACGUAUUUUAGUUCGAGAUACAUCUUUUUUCAUCCAUCUCGAUGACAAGUAUUUUCGGACGGAGGGGGUACUUC